rnacentral:rRNA from 1 species
UGCCCUUUGGUUAUGAAUAAAGGGUAAGGUCUGCCCAAUGAUUUUUGAAUGGCCGCAGUAUUUUGACUGUGCAAAGGUAGCAUAAUCAUUUGUCUUUUAAUUGGAGUCUGGUAUGAAUGAUUUAAUGGAAUAAUCGCUGUCUUUUUCUGUAUUUUGAAAUUUUAUGGCAGGUGAGGAUACUUGUAUGUUAAUAAAAGACGAGAAGACCCUAUUAAGUUUUAUACCCAUGCCCAGAAAUUUUCUGGGCAUGGGUAUUUGAUUGGGGCAAUUGAGAAAUAAGUAAAACUUUCUGGCGGGUAAAUAUUUAUGUGUAAAUUUUUAUAGGAUCCGAUUAUUUGAUUAUUAAAAUAAAUUACUUUAGGGAUAACAGCGUAAUUCUCUUAUAGAGUUCUUAUCGAUGGGGGAGAUUGCGACCUCGAUGUUGGAUUAAGAUACCUUUCUGGUGCAGGUGUUGGAGGGGGUAGUCUGUUCGACUAUUAAAUUCUUACA